ACACGACUACAUUAGAUACCCCUGUAGUCCUAGCCGUAAACGAUACUCGCUAGGUGUCGGCCACGGUGCGACCGUUGUCGGUGCCGUAGGGAAGCCGUGAAGCGAGCCACCUGGGAAGUACGGCCGCAAGGCUGAAACUUAAAGGAAUUGGCGGGGGAGCACCGCAACGGGAGGAGCGUGCGGUUCAAUUGGAUUCAACGCCGGACAACUCACCAGGAGCGACGGUUACACGAAGGCCAGGCUGAUGACCUUGCCUGAUUUUCCG
rnacentral:rRNA from 1 species